rnacentral:rRNA from 1 species
UGGGGAAUAUUGGGCAAUGGGCGCAAGCCUGACCCAGCAACGCCGCGUGAGGGAAGAAGGCUUUCGGGUUGUAAACCUCUAUCCUUGGUGACGAAACAAAUGACGGUAGCCAAGAAGGAAGCCCCGGCUAACUACGUGCCAGCAGCCGCGGUAAUACGUAGGGGGCGAGCGUUGUCCGGAAUUACUGGGCGUAAAGGGUGCGUAGGUGGCCUUUUAAGUUGGAUGUGAAAUACCCGGGCUUAACUUGGGGGGUGCAUCUAAUACUGGAGGGCUAGAGUGCAGGAGAGGGAAGCGGAAUUCCUAGUGUAGCGGUGAAAUGCGUAGAUAUUAGGAGGAACACCAGUGGCGAAGGCGGCUUUCUGGACUGUAACUGACACUGAGGCACGAAAGCGUGGGGAG